rnacentral:rRNA from 1 species
UAAAAAGUUGGGGGAUGACCUGUGGUUAGGGGUGAAAGGCCAAUCAAACUCCGUGAUAGCUGGUUCUCCCCGAAAUGCAUUUAGGUGCAGCGUUGCGUGUUUCUUGCCGGAGGUAGAGCUACUGGAUGGCCUAGGGGCCCUACCAGGUUACCGAAGUCAGCUAAACUCCGAAUGCCGGUAAGUCAGAGCGCGGCAGUGAGACUGCGGGGGAUAAGCUUCGUAGUCGAGAGGGAAACAGCCCAGAUCGCCGGCUAAGGCCCCUAAGCGUGUGCUAAGUGGGAAAGGAUAUGGGAUCGCAUAGACAACCAGGAGGUUGGCUUAGAAGCAGCCACCCUUGAAAGAGUGCGUAAUAGCUCACUGGUCAAGUGGUUCCGCGCCGACAAUGUAGCGGGGCUCAAGCACACCGCCGAAGCCGCGGCACUCCAACAUUAACCAGGCAUUGGUUGACGCUAAUGUCCAGGUGUUGGGGUGGGUAGGGGAGCGUCGUGUCACCGGGGAAGCAGCAGCGUGAGCUAGCUGUGGAGGUGACGCGAGUGAGAAUGCAGGCAUGAGUAGCGAAAGCAGGGUGAGAAACCCUGCCGCCGGAUGACCAAGGGUUCCAGAGUCAAGCUAAUCUGCUCUGGGUGAGUCGGGGCCUAAGGCGAGGCCGAGAGGCGUAGUCGAUGGAUAACGGGUUGAUAUUCCCGUACCCGCAACACAACGCCCACGCCGAUAGCCGCAAUACUAACCUUCUGAUGCUGCCAAUACCUUCGGGUGGCGGUGGUGGAGGCUGGGGCCUUUGUGGUGUGUAGGUGAGUGAUGGGGUGACGCAGGAAGGUAGUCCAGCCCAGGCGGUGGUUGUCCUGGGGUAAACGUGUAGCCCGUCGUGUAGGCAAAUCCGCACGGCAUAUGAGGGUGAGACGUGAUGCCGAGCCGUAUCAGGUGAAGUGGAUGAUCCUAUGCUGCCGAGAAAAGCCUCUAGCGAUGUUGUGCGCGGCCCGUACCCUAAACCGACACAGGUGGUCAGGUAGAGAAUACCAAGGCGAUCGGGUGAACUGUGGUUAAGGAACUCGGCUAAUUGCCCCCGUAACUUAGGGAGAAGGGGGGCCACUGCUGGUGAACGGACUUGCUUCGGGAGCUGGUGGUGGUCGCAGAGAGCAGGGGGAAGCGACUGUUUACUAAAAACACAGGUCCAUGCCAAGUCGUAAGACGCUGUAUAUGGACUGACGCCUGCCCGGUGCUGGAACGUUAAAAGGACCUGUUAGCCUCUAGGGGCGAAGCGGAGAAUUGAAGCGCCAGUAAACGGCGGUGGUAACUAUAACCAUCCUAAGGUAGCGAAAUUCCUUGUCGGGUAAGUUCCGACCUGCACGAAUGGCGUAACGACUUCCCCACUGUC